rnacentral:rRNA from 1 species
UACGGAGGGUGCAAGCGUUAAUCGGAAUCACUGGGCUUAAAGGGCGCGUAGGCGGGCGGCCGCGUCCGGGGUGAAAUCCCACGGCUCAACCGUGGAACGGCCUCGGAUACGGGCGGCCUGGAGGCGGGUAGGGGCAGGCGGAACUGUGGGUGGAGCGGUGAAAUGCGUUGAGAUCCACAGGAACUCCGGUGGCGAAGGCGGCCUGCUGGACCCGAACUGACGCUGAGGCGCGAAAGCCAGGGGAGCGAACGGG